rnacentral:rRNA from 1 species
CACGUAGGGGGGCAAGCGUUGUCCGGAUUUAUUGGGCGUAAAGAGCUCGUAGGCGGCUCAGUAAGUCGGGUGUGAAACCUCCAGGCUCAACCUGGAGACGCCACCCGAUACUGCUGUGGCUAGAGUCCGGUAGGGGAGCGUGGAAUUCCUGGUGUAGCGGUGAAAUGCGCAGAUAUCAGGAGGAACACCAGCGGCGAAGGCGGCGCUCUGGGCCGGAACUGACGCUGAGGAGCGAAAGCGUGGGGAGCAAACAGG